rnacentral:rRNA from 1 species
UCCUCAAUUAGAAUAUUUGAGGUAUUGCCUGCUCAAUGCGAAAGUAAAUAGCCGCAGUACUCUGACUGUGCAAAGGUAGCAUAAUAAAUUGGCCUUUAAUUGGGGUCUGGAAUGAAUGGCUUGACAAGGAUUUAACUGUCUUGAAUUAAGUAAUUUUGAAAUUAAAUUAUCUGUAAAAAUGCAGAUAUAAAAGAGAGGGACGAGAAGACCCUAUAGAUCUUUAAAAAAUUACUAAUUUAAUUUUAUGGAUUGGUGGUUUUUUUUAUUUGGGGAAAAUCCUGAAAUUUCAAACUUCGGUUAAUAUAUUUAAAAAUGUUAAAUGAUUGAUUUUUGAUCCAUUAUAGGAAUGAAAAAAUGAAAAAGUUACCUUAGGGAUAACAGGACAAUGGUUUCCUAUAAAGGUCUUAUUUUAGGAAACGUUUGUUACCUCGAUGUUGAAUUAAGUUAUCUAAUUAAAGAAGAAAUUCUUAUAGUUGGUCUGUUCGACCAUUAAAAAC